UAACCGGGCGUUAAGUUGCAGGGUAUAGACCCGAAACCCGGUGAUCUAGCCAUGGGCAGGUUGAAGGUUGGGUAACACUAACUGGAGGACCGAACCGACUAAUGUUGAAAAAUUAGCGGAUGACCUGUGGCUGGGGGUGAAAGGCCAAUCAAACCGGGAGAUAGCUGGUUCUCCCCGAAAGCUAUUUAGGUAGCGCCUCGUGAAUUCAUCUCCGGGGGUAGAGCACUGUUUCGGCUAGGGGGCCAUCCCGGCUUACCAACCCGAUGCAAACUGCGAAUACCGGAGAAUGUUAUCACGGGAGACACACGGCGGGUGCUAACGUCCGUCGUGAAGAGGGAAACAACCCAGACCGCCAGCUAAGGUCCCAAAGUCAUGGUUAAGUGGGAAACGAUGUGGGAAGGCCCAGACAGCCAGGAUGUUGGCUUAGAAGCAGCCAUCAUUUAAAGAAAGCGUAAUAGCUCACUGGUCGAGUCGGCCUGCGCGGAAGAUGUAACGGGGCUAAACCAUGCACCGAAGCUGCGGCAGCGACACUGUGUGUUGUUGGGUAGGGGAGCGUUCUGUAAGCCUGUGAAGGUGUGUCGUGAGGCAUGCUGGAGGUAUCAGAAGUGCGAAUGCUGACAUAAGUAACGAUAAAGCGGGUGAAAAGCCCGCUCGCCGGAAGACCAAGGGUUCCUGUCCAACGUUAAUCGGGGCAGGGUGAGUCGACCCCUAAGGCGAGGCCGAAAGGCGUAGUCGAUGGGAAACGGGUUAAUAUUCCCGUACUUGGUGUUACUGCGAAGGGGGGACGGAGAAGGCUAUGUUGGCCGGGCGACGGUUGUCCCGGUUUAAGCGUGUAGGUGUGUGUUCCAGGUAAAUCCGGUUCACUUUAACACUGAGGCGUGACGACGAGGCACUACGGUGCUGAAGCAACAAAUGCCCUGCUUCCAGGAAAAGCCUCUAAGCAUCAGGUAACAUCAAAUCGUACCCCAAACCGACACAGGUGGUCAGGUAGAGAAUACCAAGGCGCUUGAGAGAACUCGGGUGAAGGAACUAGGCAAAAUGGUGCCGUAACUUCGGGAGAAGGCACGCUGACACGUAGGUGAAGUGAUUUACUCAUGGAGCUGAAGUCAGUCGAAGAUACCAGCUGGCUGCAACUGUUUAUUAAAAACACAGCACUGUGCAAACACGAAAGUGGACGUAUACGGUGUGACGCCUGCCCGGUGCCGGAAGGUUAAUUGAUGGGGUCAGCGCAAGCGAAGCUCCUGAUCGAAGCCCCGGUAAACGGCGGCCGUAACUAUAACGGUCCUAAGGUAGCGAAAUUCCUUGUCGGGUAAGUUCCGACCUGCACGAAUGGCGUAAUGAUGGCCAGGCUGUCUCCACCCGAGACUCAGUGAAAUUGAACUCGCUGUGAAGAUGCAGUGUACCCGCGGCAAGACGGAAAGACCCCGUGAACCUUUACUAUAGCUUGACACUGAACAUUGAGCCUUGAUGUGUAGGAUAGGUGGGAGGCUUUGAAGUGUGGACGCCAGUCUGCAUGGAGCCGACCUUGAAAUACCACCCUUUAAUGUUUGAUGUUCUAACGUGGACCCGUUACCCGGGUUGCGGACAGUGUCUGGUGGGUAGUUUGACUGGGGCGGUCUCCUCCUAAAGAGUAACGGAGGAGCACGAAGGUUGGCUAAUCCUGGUCGGACAUCAGGAGGUUAGUGCAAUGGCAUAAGCCAGCUUGACUGCGAGCGUGACGGCGCGAGCAGGUGCGAAAGCAGGUCAUAGUGAUCCGGUGGUUCUGAAUGGAAGGGCCAUCGCUCAACGGAUAAAAGGUACUCCGGGGAUAACAGGCUGAUACCGCCCAAGAGUUCAUAUCGACGGCGGUGUUUGGCACCUCGAUGUCGGCUCAUCACAUCCUGGGGCUGAAGUAGGUCCCAAGGGUAUGGCUGUUCGCCAUUUAAAGUGGUACGCGAGCUGGGUUUAGAACGUCGUGAGACAGUUCGGUCCCUAUCUGCCGUGGGCGCUGGAGAACUGAGGGGGGCUGCUCCUAGUACGAGAGGACCGGAGUGGACGCAUCACUGGUGUUCGGGUUGUCAUGCCAAUGGCACUGCCCGGUAGCUAAAUGCGGAAGAGAUAAGUGCUGAAAGCAUCUAAGCACGAAACUUGCCCCGAG
rnacentral:rRNA from 1 species